ACAUGCAAGUCGAACGGACGAUCAGGGCUUGCUCUGAUCGUUAGUGGCGGACGGCUGAGUAACGCGUAGGUGACCUGCCCCGAAGUGGGGGAUAACUGCCCGAAAGGGUGGCUAAUACCGCAUGUGGUGGUUCGUUGCGUUCGAACCAUCAAAGCAGCAAUGCGCUUCGGGAGGGGCCUGCGUCCGAUUAGCUCGUUGGUGGGGUAACGGCUCACCAAGGCGACGAUCGGUAGGUGGUCUGAGAGGACGAUCACCCAGACUGGGACUGAGACACGGCCCAGACUCCUACGGGAGGCAGCAGUCGGGAAUUUUGCGCAAUGGACGAAAGUCUGACGCAGCAACGCCGCGUGAGGGAUGAAGGCCUUCGGGUUGUAAACCUCUUUUGUCAGGGACGAUGAUGACGGUACCUGACGAAUAAGCCACGGCUAACUACGUGCCAGCAGCCGCGGUAAUACGUAGGUGGCAAGCGUUGUCCGGAUUUACUGGGCGUNAGGAGCGCGCAGGCGGUCGUUCAAGUCGCGUGUGAAAGCCCCCGGCUCAACUGGGGAGGGUCACGCGAUACUGAUCGACUCCNAAGGCAGGAGAGGGAAGUGGAAUUCCC
rnacentral:rRNA from 1 species